UACCAGCUCUUCGAGUGGUGUGGAUGUUUAUUGGGCCUAAAGCAUCCGUAGCUGGCUGGGCAAGUCCCCUGUUAAAUCCACCGAUUUAAUCGUUGGAGUGCGGGGGAUACCGUUCGGCUAGGGGACGGGAGAGGCAGACGGUAUUUUCGGGGUAGGGGUGAAAUCCUAUAAUCCCGGGAAGACCACCAGUGGCGAAGGCUGUCUGCUAGAACGCGCCCGACGGCGAGGGAUGAAAGCUGGGGGAGCGAACCGGAUUAGAUACCCGGGUAGUCCCAGCUGUAAACGAUGCAGGCUAGGUGUUUGGGCGGCCACGUGCCGCUCUAGUGCCGCAGGGAAGCCGUUAAGCCUGCCGCCUGGGGAGUACGGCCGCAAGGCUGAAACUUAAAGGAAUUGGCGGGGGAGCACCACAAGGGGUGAAGCUUGCGGUUU
rnacentral:rRNA from 1 species